GAUUACCUUAGUAACGGCGAGUGAAGCGGUAAAAGCUCAAAUUUGAAAUCUGGUACUUUCAGUGCCCGAGUUGUAAUUUGUAGAAUUUGUCUUUGAUUAGGUCCUUGUCUAUGUUCCUUGGAACAGGACGUCAUAGAGGGUGAGAAUCCCGUUUGGCGAGGAUACCUUUUCUCUGUAAGACUUUUUCGAAGAGUCGAGUUGUUUGGGAAUGCAGCUCAAAGUGGGUGGUAAAUUCCAUCUAAAGCUAAAUAUUGGCGAGAGACCGAUAGCGAACAAGUACAGUGAUGGAAAGAUGAAAAGAACUUUGAAAAGAGAGUGAAAAAGUACGUGAAAUUGUUGAAAGGGAAGGGCAUUUGAUCAGACAUGGUGUUUUUUGCAUGCACUCGCCUCUCGUGGGCUUGGGCCUCUCAAAAAUUUCACUGGGCCAACAUCAAUUCUGGCAGUAGGAUAAAUCAUUAAGAAUGUAGCUACCUCGGUAGUGUUAUAGCUUAUUGGAAUACUGCUAGCUGGGAUUGAGGACUGCGCUUCGGCAAGGAUGUUGGCAUAAUGGUUAAAUGCCGC
rnacentral:rRNA from 1 species